AAACACAGAAUAGGGGUAGACGCAUCAUCUUCAACGGUCUCCUUGUCACAACCUUGGAAUUAGUCUCUCAUUUUUUUAGGGGAUACACAAACACAAAUGAAUGGAAAUACUCAAAAAUGGAGAUAUUAUUCACACGUUGUCCUA